AGAGUUUGAUCCUGGCUCAGGAUGAACGCUGGCGGCGUGCUUAACACAUGCAAGUCGAACGCACCUUCGGGUGAGUGGCGGACGGGUGAGUAACGCGUGGGAAUCUGCCCUCAGGAGGGGGAUAACGGCUGGAAACGGCCGCUAAUACCCCAUAUGCCGAGAGGUGAAAUGAAUUUCGCCUGAGGAUGAGCCCGCGUCUGAUUAGCUAGUUGGUGGGGUAAUGGCCCACCAAGGCGACGAUCAGUAGCUGGUCUGAGAGGAUGAUCAGCCACACUGGGACUGAGACACGGCCCAGACUCCUACGGGAGGCAGCAGUGGGGAAUUUUCCGCAAUGGGCGAAAGCCUGACGGAGCAACGCCGCGUGAGGGAUGAAGGCCUCUGGGCUGUAAACCUCUUUUCUCAAGGAAGAAGACAUGACGGUACUUGAGGAAUAAGCCACGGCUAAUUCCGUGCCAGCAGCCGCGGUAAUACGGGAGUGGCAAGCGUUAUCCGGAAUUAUUGGGCGUAAAGCGUCCGCAGGCGGCCUUGUAAGUCUGUCGUUAAAGCGUGGAGCUUAACUCCAUUUAAGCGAUGGAAACUACAAGGCUUGAGUGUGGUAGGGGCAGAGGGAAUUCCCGGUGUAGCGGUGAAAUGCGUAGAUAUCGGGAAGAACACCAGUGGCGAAGGCGCUCUGCUGGGCCAUAACUGACGCUCAUGGACGAAAGCCAGGGGAGCGAAAGGGAUUAGAUACCCCUGUAGUCCUGGCCGUAAACGAUGAACACUAGGUGUCGGGGGAAUCGACCCCCUCGGUGUCGUAGCUAACGCGUUAAGUGUUCCGCCUGGGGAGUACGCACGCAAGUGUGAAACUCAAAGGAAUUGACGGGGGCCCGCACAAGCGGUGGAGUAUGUGGUUUAAUUCGAUGCAACGCGAAGAACCUUACCAGGGUUUGACAUCCUGCGAAUCCCUUGGAAACUUGGGAGUGCCUUCGGGAGCGCAGAGACAGGUGGUGCAUGGCUGUCGUCAGCUCGUGUCGUGAGAUGUUGGGUUAAGUCCCGCAACGAGCGCAACCCACGUCUUUAGUUGCCAGCAUUCAGUUGGGCACUCUAGAGAGACCGCCGGUGAUAAACCGGAGGAAGGUGUGGAUGACGUCAAGUCAUCAUGCCCCUUACAUCCUGGGCUACACACGUACUACAAUGCUACGGACAAAGGGCAGCAAGCUCGCGAGAGUUAGCAAAUCCCAUAAACCGUGGCUCAGUUCAGAUCGUAGGCUGCAACUCGCCUACGUGAAGGAGGAAUCGUUAGUAAUCGCAGGUCAGCAUACUGCGGUGAAUACGUUCCCGGGCCUUGUACACACCGCCCGUCACACCAUGGAAGUUGGCCAUGCCCGAAGUCGUUACUCCAACCCUUGUGGAGGAGGACGCCGAAGGUGGGGCUGAUGACUGGGGUGAAGUCGUAACAAGGUA
rnacentral:rRNA from 1 species